rnacentral:rRNA from 1 species
UACGGGGGGAGCAAGCGUUGUUCGGAUUUACUGGGCGUAAAGGGCGCGUAGGCGGUCGUGACAAGUCACUUGUGAAAUCUCCGGGCUUAACUCGGAACGGUCAAGUGAUACUGUCGGACUAGAGUACAGAAGGGGCAACUGGAAUUCUCGGUGUAGCGGUGAAAUGCGUAGAUAUCAAGAGGAACACCUGAGGUGAAGACGGGUUGCUGGGCUGACACUGACGCUGAGGCGCGAAAGCUAGGGGAGCGAACGGG